AUUGAACGCUGGCGGCAGGCUUAACACAUGCAAGUCGAACGGUAGCAGGAGAAAGCUUGCUUUCUUGCUGACGAGUGGCGGACGGGUGAGUAAUGCUUGGGAAUCUGGCUUAUGGAGGGGGAUAACGACGGGAAACUGUCGCUAAUACCGCGUAAUAUCGAAAGAUUAAAGUGUGGGACCUUCGGGCCACAUGCCAUAGGAUGAGCCCAAGUGGGAUUAGGUAGUUGGUGGGGUAAAGGCCUACCAAGCCUGCGAUCUCUAGCUGGUCUGAGAGGAUGACCAGCCACACUGGAACUGAGACACGGUCCAGACUCCUACGGGAGGCAGCAGUGGGGAAUAUUGCGCAAUGGGGGGAACCCUGACGCAGCCAUGCCGCGUGAAUGAAGAAGGCCUUAGGGUUGUAAAGUUCUUUCGGUAUUGAGGAAGGUUGAUGUGUUAAUAGCACAUCAAAUUGAC
rnacentral:rRNA from 1 species